rnacentral:rRNA from 1 species
UACAGAGGUCUCAAGCGUUGUUCGGAUUCAUUGGGCGUAAAGGGUGCGUAGGUGGCGCUGUAAGUCAGGUGUGAAAUCUCGGAGCUUAACUCCGAAACUGCAUUCGAUACUGCCGUGCUUGAGGACUGGAGAGGAGACUGGAAUUUACGGUGUAGCGGUGAAAUGCGUAGAUAUCGUAAGGAAGACCAGUGGCGAAGGCGGGUCUCUGGACAGUUCCUGACGCUGAGGCACGAAGGUCAGGGGAGCAAACGGG